rnacentral:lncRNA from 1 species
AAAGCUAAACCUCGUACUUGUGUUUUCAGUUAGAAGCUUAUUCAUAUGUGAAAGGUGCGACAAGGACGCCUUUCUCCACUGCAGGAUGCUGAAGUAAGUGUUGAUAAAAACAUCACACAUAAAAGAGAGCUUAAAUGAAAACAGAGACAAGAGGAUGCUAAACAGAGAAAAGAAGCUGGAUCAGGGAUCUGAUGGCUGACCAUGAACAGCUGUGCACAGCGGCCACAGCAAACACCUGUUCAGGAUGCAGGAGGAAUCCUUCACCGCCAGCCUAAGGAGAAUGUUGGUGACAGCCGCCAAAACACCUUGAUCACACAUUCCCAGCACCCUGCCCUGCCAGCAGCCAGAGGAAAGUCCAGUUUAUGUUAAUAAGGUGUCUGGAGACUGGCCCCCUUCCUGUUUCCCACAAGGUGCUGCCAUUUGUUUCCCUUCUCCACUGGCCAGGCCCUGGCUGAGCACGGCCCUGGGCAGCCCACUGGACCCAGCAGGAGCA